GUGAAGAACGUAGCGAAAUGCGAUACUUGGUGUGAAUUGCAGAAUCCCGUGAACCAUCGAGUCUUUGAACGCAAGUUGCGCCCGAAGCCAUUAGGCCGAGGGCACGCCUGCCUGGGCGUCACACGUCGUUGCCCCCCCAUCUACUCCUUCGGGAUUGCGGGGGGCGGAUGAUGGCCUCUCGUGCGCCUCGUCGCGCGGUUGGCCUAAAUGCCAAGUCCUCGGCGACGCACGCCACGACAAUCGGUGGUUGCGAAACCUCGGUUGCCUGUCGUGUGCGGUCGUCGCGCAUCGAGGGCUCGAAAAAAUUGCCGGGCUUCGGCUCGACUUUCAACGCGACCCCAGGUCAGGCGGGGUUACCCGCUGAAUUUAAGCAUAUCAAUAAGCGGAGGA
rnacentral:misc_RNA from 1 species